rnacentral:rRNA from 1 species
UUUCUUGGGAUUGAGAUCUCCUCGACCUCUGAUGGCUUCUACAUCUCUCAAGAGAAAUAUAUUCAGGAUCUUCUUGCUCGAGCUGCUCUCAGUGAUGACCGCACUGUUGUGACUCCUAUGGAGCUCAACGUUCAGCUUCGUGCCUCUGAUGGUGACCCUCUUCCUAAUCCCACUCGCUAUCGUCACCUUGUUGGUAGCCUUGUCUAUCUUGCUGUUAUGCGUCCUGACAUCUCCUAUCUCGUUCACAUCCUGAGUCAGUUUGUUUCAGCCCCCACCUCUGUCCAUUAUAGUCACCUUCUCCAUGUUCUACGAUAUCUUCGUGGCACGAUCUCUCAGCGUCUUUUCUUUCCCUGCUUCAGUUCUCUUGAGCUCCAGGCUUACUCUGAUGCUACCUGGGCUAGUGAUCCCUCUGAUCGACGCUCAUUGUCUGCUUACUGUGUCUUUCUUGAUGGCUCUCUUAUUGCCUGGAAGACCAAGAAACAGACUGCAGUUUCUCGCUCGAGUACAGAGGCUGAGCUGCGUGCCAUGGCUAUGUUGACAGCUGAGGUGAUCUGGUUACGAUGGUUACUUGAGGAUUUUGGUGUGUCUGCUACUACCUCGACU